rnacentral:rRNA from 1 species
UACAGAGGUCUCAAGCGUUGUUCGGAUUCAUUGGGCGUAAAGGGUGCGUAGGCGGCGCGGUAAGUCGGGUGUGAAAUCUCGGAGCUUAACUCCGAAACUGCAUUCGAUACUGCCGUGCUUGAGGACUGGAGAGGAGACUGGAAUUUACGGUGUAGCGGUGAAAUGCGUAGAUAUCGUAAGGAAGACCAGUGGCGAAGGCGGCCCCCUGGUUGGAUACUGACGCUGAGACGCGAAAGCGUGGGGAGCAAACAGG